rnacentral:rRNA from 1 species
UACGGAGGAUCCGAGCGUUAUCCGGAUUUAUUGGGUUUAAAGGGUGCGUAGGCGGCCGAGUAAGUCAGCGGUGAAAUUUUGCAGCUUAACUGUAACAGUGCCGUUGAUACUGCAUGGCUAGGAUUUGGUUGCUGUGGGUGGAAUGUGUGGUGUAGCGGUGAAAUGCUUAGAUAUCACACAGAAUAUCAAUUGCGAAGGCAGCUCACAAAGCCAAGAUUGACGCUGAGGCACGAAAGUGUGGGGAUCAAACAGGA